GCAAUAGCUCAGUGGUAGAGCAUCUGCUUUGUAUGCAGAAGAUCCCAGGUUCACUCCCUGGUGUCUCCA